rnacentral:lncRNA from 1 species
GGACGGAGGGAGUGUAAUGCUCGUUAAUUAUCUGCCUUACGGGACAAGGACUCGGCUGAGACGCUGGUCGGAUUAAUUAGCAGGUCUCACUCAUCUCCGCGCAUCAGUCACAAAUUUUCUCACCUCAUUAAUUCACCGCUAACUCAUAUAUGCAUGCGUGUGGCCCUCUCCUGGACGAUCGACGCACUACUGUCAGUCUGUGGCUCUGUUAAUAUACGGUCGGAUAGCACGAAUUCAUUAAUGGCAUGUUAUAAAAAAAAUCGAUCUAGGAAAUAUAAAUAAAAGCUAAGAACCAUAGCAUACAAGAUUUUGUUAAGCAGAACUGCUAUAAGCUCCUUUGAGAACCGGGAAGCUGCAGUCCACGUCGUUGGGCAGAUUUUUUUUUUUUUUGAGAGGAACGUCGUUGGGCAGAUAAACGAGGGCGUCGCUGUCGUUGCCAAGAGGCCCAAGACCAACUGCAACAAUGUCGCAGCCCUCGAAAUGAAAGAGAACACGGCCGUAAGGCCCACUCGUUCGUACUGUACUGGGCCACAUUGCUGCGGUGCCGGCUUUCCAGGCCUGUGAAAAAUAAAGG